rnacentral:sRNA from 12 species
GCCCGCUGACCGAACUGUGGCCUUUAGGGUCUGCGUUCCCGCGUGGGAUAGGUCAACGGGCUUUU